rnacentral:rRNA from 1 species
GUGCCAGCAGCCGCGGUAAAACGUAGGAGACAAACGUUAUCCGGAGUUACUGGGCGUAAAGGGCGUGUAGGUGGUAUCGUAAGUCUGGCGUGAAAUUUCUCGGCUUAACCGAGGCAGGUCGUCGGAUACUGCGAGGCUAGAGGACGGUAGAGGCGUGUGGAAUUCCGGGUGUAGUGGUGAAAUGCGUAGAGAUCCGGAGGAACACCAGUGGCGAAGGCGACACGCUGGGCCGUACCUGACACUGAUGCGCGACAGCAUGGGGAGCAAACAGGAUUAGAAACCCUAGUAGUCC